rnacentral:rRNA from 1 species
UACGUAGGGGGCAAGCGUUGUCCGGAAUUAUUGGGCGUAAAGAGCGCGUAGGCGGUCCGGUAAGUCGGUUGUGAAAGUCGGGGGCUCAACCCUCGGAUGCCGAUCGAUACUGUCGGGCUAGAGUCCGGAAGAGGCGAGUGGAAUUCCUGGUGUAGCGGUGAAAUGCGUAGAUAUCAGGAGGAAUACCGAUGGCGAAGGCAGGUCUCUGGGCUGACACUGACGCUCAUGCACGAAAGCGUGGGGAGCAAACAGG